UCUCCGUUGGUGAACCAGCGGAGGGAUCAUUACAGAGUUGCAAAACUCCCAAACCAUUGUGAACGUUACCUAUCCCGUUGCUUCGGCGGGCGGCCCGGGCCCCGCGCCCGGCGCCACCCGGCCCCCCGUGGGCGCCCGCCGGAGGUAAACCAAACCCUUGAAUUGCAUGGCCUCUCUGAGUCUUCUGUGCUGAAUAAGUCAAAACUCUCAACAACGGAUCUCUUGGUUCUG
rnacentral:misc_RNA from 1 species